AUGAUGAUAAGAUAUAUAGGAGGCUUGAUUCUUGUUUAGUUAUUCCUCCACCAAAAGGAAAGAAGCCUAAAGCAAUCAUUAAAUUUCUUGGUGGUGCUUUUAUUGGAGCAGUUCCUGAAGUUACUUAUAGCUAUCUUUUAGGGCUAUUGGCAAAUGAAGGGUAUCUUAUUAUAUCUGUGCCAUAUAAUGUGACUUUUGAUCACUCAAAAGCUGCUACAGAAGUUUAUGACAAGUUUCAUUUGUGUUUGGAUUCGAUUUUAACAUCUGGAUUGCCUAAUGAUGACGUGUCAUCAACUCAACUUGUUGAUCUUCCUCUUUAUUCUGUUGGUCAUAGCAAUGGAGCCCUACUCCAAGUACUCUCUGGAAGCUAUUUCUCUGAGAGGAUACCAAAGGCU